rnacentral:lncRNA from 1 species
CAUGAUGCUACUAAAAGUUGAAAAUAACAUAAUCGUUCAUCAGAAUACAUGUUUGAUCAUAGUGCAUAUAUUGAUUAUGAUUUAACUAAACUAACAAAUACGAGAAAAUAGCAUGUAAUAAAAUACGAAGAUCAAUAACAAUAGAAGCCAAGCUUGUAGAGUUUAUUUGGCAAUCCGAGGGUCUUUAUAGCAAACAUAGAAACAUUGACAAACAUCCUUACGGUGAUCAUCGCAUUUUCCCCAUCCUUUAUCAUGCAAUUUUGCACACAAUUGGUCGCAUGAAUUUGGUGAGCAUGAAAGAGGUGGCUUUGACACUUGUUCAUCUUUACAUAUCAAAGUUAACUUGCAGUUCACACCUAUUUGAUCAUCAAAUAUAUGUAAAUCUCGUUAUGACUUGACUUUGAAGACCAAAGUUCAAAUUUUCGUUCACAAAACCAGUAUGCAUUCCUUAGUUUUCUUUUAGUCUUGUUAAAAGAUAUAUAUCACGGUAUAUAGAAAAGUAUAUAUUGAUGAGAUCAUGAACUAAAUUGUUUCAAACUUAACUUGGAUGCAGAUUCUAUAUAUCUUUGCAAUUUGCUUACUGAAAUAUCAAUGCAUGCAUAUACACUAAAUAUACAAGAGAGAUACAUUGGCUUUAUUGUAAAUGAACCGUAUUACAAUUUAUUUUGUGAAGUGACAUGUUUGACCUUAAAAACCCCUUCACCCAUAAGUUAAUUUUCAAGGUCAAACUUAGAAAAACUGGCCAUGAAAUUUGAUACACAAUCGUAUAAAAGUAGUUUAAUUUUUUUAAGAGUAUCACAUAAGAUAUACUAAACAUAGAAUAUGAUGUGUAAUUGUUGUCAUGAUUUUUACAAAAAAACAGAUACAUUUUGAAAUGCUAAAUAAAUCAACAACAUAUUAAUCUAACCAAGAAGAGCUCUAAAGUCUAAACAUGCGUACCAAGAAAUGGGUCAAAUAGCAUGAGGAUUGACAAAACUGCUACAAACCUCAUUAUUGAAGGUUUUAAGUUUUGUUUACAACUUCA